UACGUAGGGGGCGAGCGUUGUCCGGAUUUAUUGGGCGUAAAGAGCUCGUAGGCGGGAUGGCAAGUCGGUCGUGAAAUCCUUCGGCUCAACCGAAGAACGUCGAUCGAUACUGCUGUUCUUGAGGGUUGCAGAGGAGACUGGAAUUCCCGGUGUAGCGGUGAAAUGUGUAGAGAUCGGGAGGAACACCGGUGGCGAAGGCGGGUCUCUGGGCAAUUCCUGACGCUGAGGCGCGAAAGCGUGGGGAGCAAACGGG
rnacentral:rRNA from 1 species